CAGACCACUCUACGUUCAAAGUGGAGACAAAAAACCCGCAUGUUAAACUCCAUUUUCAAGGUCUUGGCAAAAAGUAUAUUUUUUUCAUUGUUUGGACGCCAAUUCUUAUGGUUUAAAACAUUAUAGCCUCGGUUACUAUUAUUGUAGCCAUGCUGGGGAAGCAUCUCCUUGUGUCUUUCCUGGCAUUUGUGAACGCAAUCCCGAGAAACAGAAAUUUCCCAUCAUGCGAACAACGGAUAAAUGAGUGUCAUAAUGGCACAAUACCCAACUGUCUAGUUAAAAACAGGGUGGAGCAACAUUUCGUAUGCUCGCCGCAGAGACAACCAUGUUUCCGCUCGUGGUCUAGGCAAUGUGCAGAUACUGAUAACAUGAGUUGUACUCAUUAUCUAACUUACUGCGAGUGUCAUUGUGAGAUCAGGUACAGACAGCCAUUUCGAACUACGCCGCAACAACAUGUGCGUAAGAAGCGCGGGCCAGGAAGAACCUAAAUGUCUGAACAGCUCUUCACUGGUAUCGAUGCUAGACUUUAGAGAGACAUUGUUCUGCUUCGGCAACAAAUAAAGUGAAUUCAUGCUGA